AAAGAAUUAGUUAAAUUAACAUUGACUUGUCAAGUUAAAAUUAUUAGAUCAAAUCUAAUAUUCUUUA
rnacentral:tRNA from 1 species